rnacentral:rRNA from 1 species
GACGAACGCUGGCGGCGUGCCUAAUACAUGCAAGUAGGACGCAGUUGCGAACGGGUGAGUGACGCGUAUGUAACAACCCACUAGAGGGGGAUAACUAUCGUGAACGAUAGCGAAUACCGCAUACUAGUAGAUGGAUGGGCGUUGUAUUAGCUAGUUGGUGGGGUAAUGGCCUACCUAGGCAACGAUACAUAGCCGACCUGAGGGGGUGAUCGGCCACACUGGGACUGAGACACGGCCCAGACUCCUACGGGAGGCAGCAGUGGGGAAUAUUGGACAAUGGGCGAAAGCCUGAUCCAGCCAUGCCGCGUGUGUGAAGAAGGUCUUCGGAUUGUAAAGCACUUUAAGUUGGGAGGCGUUACCAACAGAAUAAGCACCGGCUAACUUCGUGCCAGCAGCCGCGGUAAUAC